rnacentral:misc_RNA from 1 species
CACCAAUCAAGCCUGGCUUGGUAUUGGGCCACGGGGGCGACCCGGGCCUCAAAGUCCCCCGGCUGGAAAGCUCUGAUCUCAGCGUCGUGGUUAAUCAAUUCGCCGACGAGAGGGGUGGUCCAUGCCGUGAAACUCAUUACA